rnacentral:rRNA from 1 species
AACGAACGCUGGCGGCAGGCCUAACACAUGCAAGUCGAACGAAGUCUUCGGACUUAGUGGCGCACGGGUGAGUAACACGUGGGAAUAUACCUUACGCUGGGGGAUAACAUCGGGAAACUGAUGCUAAUACCGCAUACGCCCUUCGGGGGAAAGAUUUAUCGGCGAAAGAUUAGCCCGCGUCCGAUUAGCUAGUUGGUGAGGUAAUGGCUCACCAAGGCUCCGAUCGGUAGCUGGUCUGAGAGGAUGACCAGCCACACUGGGACUGAGACACGGCCCAGACUCCUACGGGAGGCAGCAGUGGGGAAUAUUGGACAAUGGGCGCAAGCCUGAUCCAGCCAUGCCGCGUGAGUGAUGAAGGCCUUAGGGUUGUAAAGCUCUUUCAACCACGACGAUGAUGACGGUAGUGGGAGAAGAAGCCCCGGCUAACCUCGUG